UCUCCCUUUCAUGGCAGAAUACGAAGAGCUCUAAUCUGAUCAGUCCCGAGCCUUAUGUCGAUUCUACCCUGGCAGAAUACAAAGAGCAUUAAGGGUAAUAUUGACGUUUCUUAUUGACUAGAUUUCAGAUACGCUGUACAUCCAACGGUCCAAAACUCAUCCCCAUAGCCAAAGGCCCAUUCGACCGUUGGAUCUGAUUGACAGAGGGAGGGAGUUGGGAUCGACCCGAAGUGACGAGAAAAAGGCUUUGGCUUUCUCGGCCCUCACUUCUAUCAAGCUCUUGAUCGACGGCGAAUUUACUUUUGGGGGGAGUUUCAGUUGGGAGAGCUAUUGCUGGGGAAUUUGGGGAAGGAAUGAUGCAUCCCGUUGACCCCGUAAAGGCACGUAUUCAGAGCCGAGGUAUUCUUUGUGAAAGUCAGAUGGUGGUCCACACACUCACAAGGGAUGUAAUUUACUAGCUUCUUCUGUUCUCAUGGUUAUUAUGAAGGCUUAAACAUUUGACAGCAUGGGAAGAAAAAUCUACAUGCAAUCCAAGUGCAUAUCUCACCACUGCCUCCCUGGGAUGUGACUAGAACAAAAUUUCAAAGUACAGGAUCAGCCUUGAGGUUAUUAUGAAGGCUUAAACAUUUGACAGCAUGGGAAGAAAAAUCUACAUGCAAUCCAAGUGCAUAUCUCACCACUCCCUCCCUGGGAUGUGACCAGAACAAAAUUUCAAAGUACAGGGAUCAGCCUUGAGGUAUCAGUUCUGUUUUGUGGUUAUACAAUAUUUACUAUUCAAUAAUUAAUUUCCUUUGAUUUU